UGGGGAAUAUUGGACAAUGGGCGAAAGCCUGAUCCAGCCAUGCCGCGUGAGUGAUGAAGGCCUUAGGGUUGUAAAGCUCUUUUGCCUGGGAAGAUAAUGACGGUACCAGGAGAAUAAGCCCCGGCAAACUUCGUGCCAGCAGCCGCGGUAAUACGAAGGGGGCUAGCGUUGUUCGGAUUUACUGGGCGUAAAGCGCACGUAGGCGGAUUCUUAAGUCAGGGGUGAAAUCCCGAGGCUCAACCUCGGAACUGCCUUUGAUACUGGGGAUCUUGAGUUCGGGAGAGGUGAGUGGAACUGCGAGUGUAGAGGUGAAAUUCGUAGAUAUUCGCAAGAACACCAGUGGCGAAGGCGGCUCACUGGCCCGAUACUGACGCUGAGGUGCGAAAGCGUGGGGAGCAAACAGG
rnacentral:rRNA from 1 species